rnacentral:SRP_RNA from 15 species
CCGACGAAGGCUGGAAAAGGAGCAGGGCGAGUCCCAGCUGCAA